rnacentral:rRNA from 1 species
GACCUACGGGACGCAGCAGUAGGGAAUUUUCGUCAAUGGGCGCAAGCCUGAACGAGCAAUGCCGCGUGAACGAGGAAGGUCUUCGGAUCGUAAAGUUCUGUUGAAGGGGAAAAAGAGCGGAGAGAGGAAAUGCUUUCUGAUUGAUAUUACCCUUCGAGGAAGUCACGGCUAACCACGUGCCAGCAGCCGCGGUAAUACGGAAGGUCCGGGCGUUAUCCGGAUUUAUUGGGUUUAAAGGGAGCGUAGGCCGGCUUUUAAGUCAGCUGUGAAAGUCCGCGGCUCAACCGUGGAAUUGCAGUUGAAAC